rnacentral:rRNA from 1 species
UGGGGGAUUUUCCGCAAUAGGAGANAUCCCGACGGAGCAAAACCGCGUGAGGGAUGACGGCCUNUGGGUUGUNAACCUAUUUUUUCAGGGNGGAAUCAAUGACGUGUACCUGAAGAAUAAGCAUUGGCNAACUCCGUACCAGCAGCCGCCGUAAGNCGGAGGANGCAAGUGUCAUCCGGAAUCCCUGGGCGUAAAGCGUCNGUAGGUGGUCCAAUAAGUCAACUGUUAAAUCUUGAGGCUCAACCUCAAAAUCGCAGUCGACACACUAUUAGACUAGAGUAUAGUUGGGGUAAAGGGAAUUUCCAGUGGAGCGGUGAAAUGCGUAGAGAUUGGAAAGAACCCCGAUGGCCGAAGGCGCUUUACCUGGGCUAUUAUCUAUACAACUCAGAGACGAAACGCUAGGGUAGCAAAAGGGAUCAGAUAUCCCC